UCUGGUCUAGUCAGGAUUAGAAUAAGUAUAACUUUUCCUUAGAUUCUAUCGAGUCUGCAUUUAGUAUGCAUAUGUCUAGAGUCAUUUCUAUUCAUGUGGAGGAUUGUUGGACCAAUCUAUUAAGCACAAUGGCUUUAAUAAAAAUUGGUAAUGAUGAAAAGAAAUGGGCAUGCGGGUGUUAACCAAAGAAGCCUUUAAUGACUUUAAUGAAGAAGUUUAGAGACAUCUCACAUCGGUUACAUGAGAAGAAAACGGGCAGUAUAUAUAAGUGUACACACUUACACUAGAUUAAACGGCUCAGAUGAAAAGAGAGCUCCCCACGCGCGCGCCGCAGCCGCCGUCCGGCCGGCUCGGUUCGGCGUGGGUGUGGGUUGGGCUUGGGCUUGGGUCUUGGGUCUUGGAUCUUGGGUCUUGGGUCUUGGUGGAGGGCAUCCGGCCCAAUAAGACUAUUUUUUUUUACCAAGUUAAGCCAAACGUUUUGUCAUUUAUUUUGAGAAAAAACAGCAUGCAAUUUUAUUUAAAACAACAAGUAGUUUGUCUAGAAAAUAAAAAUGUCAUGCAGUUUAUCCUCUCGAAAGUUUUAAACGAGAUAAGUUUACAGGUAACCCUACACGUGAGUGUUUGUAUCUUGUUUCUCUUUGUGUGAGAUUUUCAUUCUUAACCUGGAUACAUUAUCGGAAAUCUUAGCAAGUGGAACUUGAGUCAACAUCGUUAGGGUAACGUUUACGAUUCACAAUAUAUGAAAAUUUCUCACUAUUUCAAGUGUUUGGAGUUUGAACAGUGUAGGUGCAUUCACAAUAUAUGAAUUUUUUACUGUUUCAAGUGUUUUGGAGUUUGAACCGUGUAGGUACAAAUCCUGAUUUAUUUUUUUUUUUUUUUCAGGUGCAGGGCGUAGGUGGAAAGGAAAUGGCUUGAAGCAGCUUUCAUCAAAUCCAUAUUAGGUCUUAGUACCAAUUAGCUUAACUAAGUAAAUUUCGUAAGAGAAGAAGACGGUGUGCUUAGGUAACUUCUUUUGAGUAUGGCAUGUUGCAAUGUAACGCAAUUUGGUUUCCACUGCUCGCAUUGUCAUCAAAAAUCUAAAUAGCCAAACAGGGCAGUACGUUGUACUAGUUGCAUAUAUUAAAUCUAAGGUCAGAAUGAAAAUUGCAGGAUGAUUCAAAGAAGUCCAAAAUUAUUUAUGAAGAAAGUGGUAUUAUUAAAUUAACAUUUAGACAAGAUUUAAAAGAGGAAAUAAUUGCUUAGGGGUUAAAAGAUGAUGCAUUUUUCUAAGUUUUCAUUGGGCCGAGCCCACAAGGCCCAUGAAGAAGACAAUUACACAAAUGUCCCUCUACGGAUCAAAAUAUCUUAGUCCCGCAUGUUGUCAAACCCUAGAUCUUCUUCUCACUUACACUGAGACUGAGAGUAGCUUCCAGAGAAAACAAUGGCGAUGCCGAUGGAUAUCGUUAACGAUGUAUUCUUUGAGAUUUUAGGAUUGCAAAUGGUAAAUUGUAUCAAUUUUCUUAAACCAUCUUGUGUUACACUCUCAGGAGGGAUGAUUUUCUGUCCAAGGGAUUCAAACUCAAGUUAUAAGAAAAGCAGGGGAACUUCAAUGCCCAACACUUUAUAAAGGUGCAGGGGCGUAAUCGGGAGAAGAAAAACUUUUAUCAAAUCCUAAUCCUAUAUUAGAUCUUAGUAUUUAACCUAUGUAGAAGGUAUAUUCACUAAGAAAAGACUGUGUGCUACGCUGUAGUUGGUUGAAUUUAUAAAAUCCAAGAAUCUAG